GACGAACGCUGGCGGCGUGCCUAAUACAUGCAAGUCGAACGCUUCUUUCCUCCCGAGUGCUUGCACUCAAUUGGAAAGAGGAGUGGCGGACGGGUGAGUAACACGUGGGUAACCUACCCAUCAGAGGGGGAUAACACUUGGAAACAGGUGCUAAUACCGCAUAACAGUUUAUGCCGCAUGGCAUAAGAGUGAAAGGCGCUUUCGGGUGUCGUUGAUGGAUGGACCCGCGGUGCAUUAGCUAGUUGGUGAGGUAACGGCUCACCAAGGCCACGAUGCAUAGCCGACGUGAGAGGGUGAUCGGCCACACUGGGACUGAGACACGGCCCAGACUCCUACGGGAGGCAGCAGUAGGGAAUCUUCGGCAAUGGACGAAAUUCUGACCGAGCAACGCCGCGUGAGUGAAGAAGGUUUUCGGAUCGUAAAACUCUGUUGUUAGGGAAGAACAAGGACGUUAGUAACUGAACGUCCCCUGACGGUAUCUAACCAGAAAGCCACGGCUAACUACGUG
rnacentral:rRNA from 1 species